rnacentral:rRNA from 1 species
CGAACGGGUGAGUAACGCGUGAGGAACCUGCCUCAAANAGGGGGACAACAGUUGGAAACGACUGCUAAUACCGCAUAAGCCCACGGGUCGGCAUCGACCAGAGGGAAAAGGAGCAUCCGCUUUGAGAUGGCCUCGCGUCCGAUUAGCUAGUUGGUGAGGUAAUGGCCCACCAAGGCAACGAUCGGUAGCCGGACUGAGAGGUUGAACGGCCACAUUGGGACUGAGACACGGCCCAGACUCCUACGGGAGGCAGCAUG